GACGAACGCUGGCGGCGUGCUUAACACAUGCAAGUCGAGCGGUAAGGCCCUUUCGGGGGUACACGAGCGGCGAACGGGUGAGGAAUACAUGGGUAACCUACCCUCGAGUGGGGAAUAACUAGCCGAAAGGUUAGCUAAUACCGCGUACGCUCCUUGGACUUCGGUUCAGGGAGGAAAGCGAUACCGUGGGUAUCGCGCUCUUGGAUGGGCUCAUGUCCUAUCAGCUUGUUGGUGAGGUAACGGCNCACCAAGGCUUCGACGGGUAGCUGGUCUGAGAGGACGAUCAGCCACACUGGCACUGCGACACGGGCCAGACUCCUACGGGAGGCAGCAGUAAGGAAUAUUGCGCAAUGGGCGAAAGCCUGACGCAGCGACGCCGCGUGGGGGAUGAAGGUCUUCGGAUUGUAAACCCCUUUCGGGAGGGAAGAUGGAACGAGCAAUCGUUCGGACGGUACCUCCAGAAG
rnacentral:rRNA from 1 species